AUAAGAAGGUGAUAGAGUGGUUAUAUGGUCGGUUUGAAGCCGGUCUACGUGGGUUCGAUUCCUACCCUUUUUG
rnacentral:tRNA from 1 species